rnacentral:lncRNA from 1 species
CAAAAGACAAAAAAAAAAAAAAAAAAAAAAAAAAGAUACCUGUCAUUAGGCUUAUUUGUCAGAAAGAACCAGGAGCUCCCGUUGUAGCUCAGUGGUAACGAACCCAACUAGUAACCAUGAUGGAUGCCGUUUUGAUCCCUGGCCUCACUCAGUGGGUUAAAGGAUCUGGUGUUGCUCUGGCUGUGGUGUAGGCUGGCGGCUACAGCUCUGAUUCAAUCCCAGCCUGGGAACCUCCAUACCAAGGUGCGUGCCUAAAAAGACCAAAAAAAAAAAAAGAACAAAAUAUGUACAGAUUAUUUUUUGUCUUUUUUUUAGGGCAGCAUAUGGAGGUUCCCAGGCUAGGGAGUCUCAUUGGAGCUGUAGCCACCAGCUUUCGCCAUAGCCACAGCAACACCAGAUCUGAGCCACAUCUGUGACCUAAACCACAGCUCACAGCAACACCAGAUCCUUAAACCCACUGAGCAAGGCCAGGGAUUGAACCCACAACCUCAUGGUUCCUAGUGGGAUUCUUUUCCACUGCACCACGAUGGGAACUCCCCCCUUUUUUUAAAUGCAGAACCACUACCGCUAAUGCCAUGGUUCAGGUUGUCUUGAUCCUUGAUCAAUUCUGUCCUUGGUUCUAAGUCUUCCUGGGGUUAAGAUUUACUUCUGGGAAUUGGACAGUGUUUCCACCCACCUGGGAUUGCUACACGUUAAGAUGUACAGACUUCCUAUUACUUGAGGUAGGUGACUCUGGACCAGUCACCUCUGGAUUUUUGUUGGUGAUGCUUUGGCUCCCCCAAACCCUACUUUCUGCUGGCGAAAGCUGGGCUUCAGGACUCCAGAGGGGGCUAGUCUUACUGGAAUAUGCCCAAGUCACCCUGUGAGUUGAGUCACCCUCAAUCAUCUUCCUGAUGGAAGUCUGGAGCACCCUCUAGUCAUCAUGGGGUGGAUGGAUCUGGACGGGGCUGAGAUGCCACCUCCUUGUGUACCUCCCCAGAUGCACCCUUGAGACAUCUCUGAAUCAAUGGGACACUAAGGCACAUUGCAGCUUUUCUUUUUCCUUUUGACUGUCUGCAGCACAAGGAAGUUCCCUGGCCAUGACUGAACCCAUCCCACAGCAAUCCUUAACCUGCUGAGCCACCAGGGAACUCCGUGUCACAUUUUUUUUUUAUUUCAGUUGAUAGAACCUUUCACCAUUCAUAUCCUUAGGGCCCUACACCUCUUCCAGAUUUCUUCUUCUUCUUCUUCUUUUUUUAAAUCUAUGGCUGUAUCUGAGCACAUGGAAAUUCCUGGGCCAGGGACUGAAUCCAAGCCAUAGCUGCAACUUAUGCCACACCUGUGGCAAGCCAGAUCCUUUAACCUACUGCACUGAACGGGGGAUCGAAUCCACACCUCCACAGUGACCUGAGCCACUGCAGUCAGAUUCUUAACCCACUGUGCCACAACAGGAACUCCUCUUCCAGAUAUUUUAGACAACUACCGGCUAAGUUUAGACUUGCCCUCCCAAUUUCAGUUUUCCUUUUUCUGUCACAUGGAUGCAUUGGCUUGGGAUGGAGUGAAGGAUGUGGGUAUUUAUUCAGGACAUUGUUUAUGGCCGUGGGGGUGUCAGAUACUACAGAAGGAUAGCAACUGAGUGGGUCUGUGAUACACCUAGUUCAGCAGAGCUGCUGCCCUUGUAGCUCUGGCGGGGCUCCCAUGGGAUGCCAGAGCAGGACUUAGGGCUCAUGUGUAUGAGUGAACAGCCUGGAGGGGCGUGUUGUCUGGAUACACUGGGGUUACCUGGAAGUGGAGGCUGUUGGCGGCCGAGACUGCAGCUUGGGUUCUCCAUCUGAAAAAGGCUCUUUAAUGUUUGGCAUGGCCAUUCUCUGCACACCCUGAGCUGGGCUCCUGUUGCAUCUGUCAACAUGAAGGCUUGGGAAAUGGGGGUGUUGUUCUGUGGAAGGAGGGGGACUGUAAUGCACAUCCAGUGUCCCUUCCUGGGCCCACCACCCCGCCCCCAGUGAGCAGCUUGCCGCAGGGCUGUUACAAAGGCGUUUAGUUUAUUCUCCUCAUCAGUAUCACUGAUAUUCUCAUGGUUCACAUUUCCCAGUGCGGCUCCUCUUCUUACAGUAGUUAAUGUGCAAUCUCACUUACGGGCCCGGGGAAGGGGGGGCUCGGCCCAGGGCAGGGAGGGUGUUGGCACUCCACGCGGACAGGGCGGGUGGUCUGUCCUGCGUGAAAGAGGUGCAGGUGAACGGGUGGCCGGGGGAGGCCCCCACAGUCUUUUUUUGCGUUGGUCAGUGAUUCUCCAUUCAUGUUCCUUCCUGGCUGCCCAGGGUGGGGGUCGGUCCAUGCAGCUCAGGGCUGGGCAGGGUGGGAGAGGAAAGGAAAAGCAGCAGGCCGCCCAGAAACAGAGAGGGCAGGGCGGGAGGGGCGCAGGGGUGGCUCCUGGGGUAAGGCACAACCCUGUCUUUGGCUCUCCUGGUGAGGAGUUUCCUCCCCUGCACCCCUGCCCAGCCCCUCUCCCUCUCCUCACCAUCCCCAGACCAACAGCCUGGGGAGCCAGGGGAACCUCUGGGGCUCCCUGAAAUGAGAGGGCUCCGCCACCCAACCCAGUGCUGCAGGGGCUUGGAGGAGGGACAGGGCCCCACCAGAGCACAAGGCGGGGAGGGGCUGGGCAGGGGUCUGCCCAGGACAAGGGGGUGGGGAGGGAGAAGACCCCGGUCCCAGAGAGCUGGCCCCCGCUAAGGCCUGGAAGGAGGGGAGCGCCUGGGGACUCCUGCUUCCUUUUGGGGUCUGGCUGGAGCCCCAGCCCACCCCUUGGCCUUGGUCGGCCCGGCAGCUUGCCAAGUGACCAGGAUAUUGUGCUUUGGGAUCUACGCUGGGGUGGGGUGUCAAGGCUGGGAUGUGGGGGCAGUGGAGGUGCGACUAAGGUGCUUGUGCUUUAGCUGGGGGUGUCGACUCCCCCCACACACUCGGGCCCCCCGAGGGCUAAGAUGCUGGGACCUGGCUGGGAAAGCAGAGUGCCAGGGCCCCAGCAGGACUGAUACCCCAUCCCUGCAACAAGCAGAUGUCAGGAAGGACCCCCUCCCCGCAGGCUGGCAGGGGCUCCUGGGUGGGUGGGGAGGCCUCCAAGUCAGAUUCCAAGGGUCCAGCUGGCCCCCACCCCACCUCCUGGAAUCCCCCUGCCUUUGGAGAAGAGAGGCUGCUGGGAGCAAUGGGCUGGUCAGACUGGGGAGGAGACAGAGGUGGUGAGAACAAGGGCUAGAGACAAAAAUGUGAAACUGCAAGGAAAUGACACAUGGUGUGUGUUGCGGGGCCAGGGCGGGAGUAAAAACAAGAACCUAUGU